CCUACGGGUGGCUGCAGUGGGGAAUAUUGGACAAUGGGCGAAAGCCUGAUCCAGCCAUGCCGCGUGUGUGAAGAAGGCCUUCGGGUUGUAAAGCACUUUCAGUGGGGAAGAAAGCCUUGGGGCUAAUACCCUCGAGGAAGGACAUCACCCACAGAAGAAGCACCGGCUAACUCCGUGCCAGCAGCCGCGGUAAUACGGAGGGUGUGAGCGUUAAUCGGAAUUACUGGGCGUAAAGCGCGCGUAGGCGGUCUGAUAAGCCGGUUGUGAAAGCCCCGGGCUCAACCUGGGAACGGCAUCCGGAACUGUCAGGCUAGAGUGCAGGAGAGGAAGGUAGAAUUCCCGGUGUAGCAGUGAAAUGCGUAGAGAUCGGGAGGAAUACCAGUGGCGAAGGCGGCCUUCUGGACUGACACUGACGCUGAGGUGCGAAAGCGUGGGUAGCAAACAGGAUUAGAUACCCGAGUAGUC
rnacentral:rRNA from 1 species